AUUGAACGCUGGCGGCAGGCCUAACACAUGCAAGUCGAGCGAGCGGCGGACGCGUGAGUAAUGUAUGGGGAUAUGUCCGUUAGAGGGGGAUAACUACUGUAAACACGGUCUAAUACCCCAUACUCUCUGAGGAAUCCAUAGGGGAUUAGUUAGUAGGUAAGGUAAUGGCUUACCUAGGCGACGAUCCCUAGCUGGUCUGAGAGGAUGAUCAGCCACACUGGAACUGAGACACGGCCCAGACUCCUACGGGAGGCAGCAGUGGGGAAUAUUGCACAAUGGGCGCAAGCCUGAUGCAGCCAUGCCGCGUGUAUGAAGAAGGCCCUAGGGUUGUAAAGUACUUUCAGUCGGGAGGCGUUACCGACAGAAGAAGCACCGGCUAACUCCGUGCCAGCAGCCGCGGUAAUUC
rnacentral:rRNA from 1 species